rnacentral:rRNA from 1 species
AUCCUGGCUCAGGAUGAACGCUGGCGGCGUGCCUAAUACAUGCAAGUCGAGCGAACGGAUAAGGAGCUUGCUCCUUUGAAGUUAGCGGCGGACGGGUGAGUAACACGUGGGUAACCUACCUAUAAGACUGGAAUAACUUCGGGAAACCGGAGCUAAUGCCGGAUAACAUUUGGAACCGCAUGGUUCUAAAGUAAAAGAUGGUUUUGCUAUCACUUAUAGAUGGACCCGCGCCGUAUUAGCUAGUUGGUAAGGUAACGGCUUACCAAGGCAACGAUACGUAGCCGACCUGAGAGGGUGAUCGGCCACACUGGAACUGAGACACGGUCCAGACUCCUACGGGAGGCAGCAGUAGGGAAUCUUCCGCAAUGGACGAAAGUCUGACGGAGCAACGCCGCGUGAGUGAUGAAGGUUUUCGGAUCGUAAAACUCUGUUAUUAGGGAAGAACAAAUAUGUAAGUAACUGUGCACAUCCUUGACG